rnacentral:rRNA from 1 species
AUUGAACGCUGGCGGCAUGCCUUACACAUGCAAGUCGAACGGCAGCACGGGAGCAAUCCUGGUGGCGAGUGGCGAACGGGUGAGUAAAGUAUCGGAACGUGCCCAGUCGUGGGGGAUAACGUAGCGAAAGUUACACGAAUACCGCAUACGAUCUAGGGAUGAAAGCGGGGGAUCGCAAGACCUCGCGCGAUUGGAGCGGGCGAGACCAGAUUAGGGAGUUGGUGGGGUAGAGGCGCACCACGCCGACGAUCUGGAGCUGGUCGGAGAGGACGACCAGCCACAAUGGGGCUGAGACACGGCCCCCAACGAUGACACUGCGAUACGGGUCAUACACCUACGGGUGGCUGCAGUCGAGAAUAUUCGACAAUGGGCGAAAGCCUGAUCGGGCGACGCCGCGUGCGGGAAGAAGUGCUUCGGCAUGUAAACCGCUUUUGCAUGGGAAGAAUUUUGACGGUACCAUGAGAAUAAGGGGUUGCUAACCUCGUGCCAGCCGCCGCCGUAACAC